GCCAGAAAGGUGGGGUGGCAGGAGUAGCCAUCGGCGGGGACGAGGCCAGGCCACGGUGGGCUCCAGGCGCUUGUUUUGCUUCUGUCUGGGAAGGAGGACACAGCAGCUGCCUCGGGCAGUCGUCAUGGAGAUAACAGGACGCCCCCUUCGCACCAACCUAGGGGCCACACUCAGCAGAGACCUGCUCCGUGCCAGGUGCUGUUCUGGGCACGGACACAGCCAAGGACACGGCCCGCAGCCCGUUUCCCAUCUGCGCCGAGGGGCAGGGCACGGCCUAGUCACCGGCUUUGUCUGUCCCGAGGCCACAGUUUCAUCGGCCUUCGCUCUGCCCGCAAGCCUCAGUUUGCUCAUCUGUCAAGUGGAGCUGCUGGCGAAGGAUUUCAGGGGCCGAGGACUGGGAAAGCCUUGGCGAGUGUUGGAGGACGGCAGGAACUCUUUCCACGUGGGAGGCCUGAGCGCCGUCGAGAGGGGCCGAGCUCCCAGGCCACUGUCAGGCUCCUGAGGACACUGGCAUGGCCAGGUCCUCAGGCCGUGGGGAUGGGGGCGGAGGGGGGCCGGGUGCCUCCUGUGGCCUUGUCACUGCACAUCCAGGGCCUGUUUUUUUCUGGAAAACAAGCGACAUUCAUCACGAGUGACAGCGGGGCCCUAAUGCAAUCUCCCUGGAGCCAUGAAUUGCAAAUGCGCAGGGAGGCGGCUCCUCCAUUAGGGCCCCAGAGGUCACGUGCCCCGGCUCCCGGGGCGGGUGCUGCUCAGAAGUGGGGACACCUGCCAAGCAGGUGGGUCCAGGGCUCCUUAGAGUCACCUGGGCUGGGCCCCAGCCGCCUGCCCGGUCCUUGGGGCCCGGGAGUGAAGAGAAGGCUCCAGAGUGGGAGGAAGCGGGGGCUGAUGCUGGUGACUCAACUUGCCCUUGUCCCACUGCGAGAUUCACAGGCAGUUCCCCAGGGGCAAGCCGGGUGAGCAGGCGGGGCAGGCAGGUCCCCGUCUGACACGUCACCUGCCUGGCCAUCAGGAGGGCCCGCCCCAGGGGGCCGGAGGCACACAUGUGACCGGGCGGUGCCAAGGACCCCGAGGGUGAGGCCUGGGCUGUGCCCGUUGGCCUCCUCCCAGCCGCCCACACACAGGAGCCCACGCCCAUCAUCCCCCCUUUCCCCCCCCACAUCCUGGGCACCUGCAGCUUGGACCCUGCACUGCUGUUCUCUGCUCCUGGGCCUGGGCCUGGGCCUCACGUGCGGGCCCAGCUCCCUGCCAGCCGGGCACUGAGUCAGGGCGCGCCUGCCUGCCUGCCUCUGGCACCCGGUGUAGACGGGUGGGUUUGUUUUUCCCUGUGUGUUUUGGGUUCAGGGAAAAAAAAAAAUCUCUAACCAAGCACUGGCCCUGGGGCGUUUUCCCCUUCAUUUUUCUGCCCAGGUGUCUCUGAAGGGAACUUCAUUGUUUGUUUCAAAUUCAUUUGCACUUAACUCAUCUGGAAGUUUUGCAAGAGUUGUUUGAUGUCCAAGGAGCCUGCAAGUGAGCGGCCCCUCCGCCUCUCCCCAUCCCAUAAUGAGCCCUUUAACCCUUGGAGACCCACAGCUGCCUUUUGGGCCCGAGUCAAAGAGUGGGGGCCCCUUCCCAUCCUGCACAAAGAAGCAAGCGUGCAGGGGCUCGGGGGCCUCUGUCCAGCUUGUCCCCUCCUCUGGGCCACACACACUUUGGGCAUCGCUCAGCACCUCCUGCCCAGGGGCCCCACUAAUUAAUGGGUGCCUGCGAGGGCUGACCCAAUCAGCCCCCAAAUUAAUCUCAAUUACAGUGGUUUGGUAA